rnacentral:rRNA from 1 species
CGUAGUGACCUGCGGAAGGAUCAUUA